GCGGGGAGAGCUGGGAGGUUAAGCACUAGAUUGUGAAUCUAUAGAUCGUGGGUUCGAAUCCCAUUCUUCGCC
rnacentral:tRNA from 1 species